GUUUGAUCGGUGAUACCCCUCCGUCUCCCGGAGAUGGUGGGGGCCACCCCGUCACCCCCGCCGCCUCGGGGCUGUGGUGUGCAGGGCCCGGCUGAGGCGGGCUGAUGCCGUCGCCCUCCCUCGUGUCUCUAGGUCUGGGGCGGCGGGACUUUUCCGCCGGGGGAGGAGAGAGAUGUGGUACAAUACUUGUUCAUGAGGCCCAGCAGCA
rnacentral:lncRNA from 1 species